AAUCAACGCUGGCGGCGUGCCUCAGACAUGCAAGUCGAACGAUUAAAGCUCCCUUCGGGGAGUGUAUAGAGUGGCGCACGGGUGCGUAACACGUGGGUAAUCAACCCUUCAGCUCGGGACAACACCUCGAAAGGGGUGCUAAUACCGGAUACGACGUAUGGCUUUGCGGAGUCGUACGGGAAAGAUUCGCAAGGAUCACUGGAGGACGAGCUCGCGGCCCAUCAGCUGUUGGUGAGGUAAUGGCUCACCAAGGCUUAGACGGGUAACUGGUCUGAGAGGAUGAUCAGUCACACUGGAACUGAGACACGGUCCAGACUCCUACGGGAGGCAGCAGUGGGGAAUCUUGCGCAAUGGGCGGAAGCCUGACGCAGCCACGCCGCGUGAGCGAUGAAGGCCUUAGGGUUGUAAAGCUCUUUCGGCGGGGACGAUGGUGACGGUACCCGCAGAAGAAGCACCGGCUAACUCUGUGCCAGCCGCCGCCGU
rnacentral:rRNA from 1 species